rfam:Nocardioides sp. Root190 contig_7, whole genome shotgun sequence.
ACCCGGUCCCAUCCCGAACCCGGAAGUUAAGCCUGCCAGCGCCGAUGGUACUGCAACCGAGAGGAUGUGGGAGAGUAGGACGCAGCCGGAC